rnacentral:rRNA from 1 species
CCUACGGGUGGCUGCAGUGGGGAAUUUUCCACAAUGGGCGAAAGCCUGAUGGAGCAACGCCGCGUGUGUGAUGAAGGUCUUCGGAUCGUAAAGCACUUUCGACUGGGACGAAAAACCUUUGGCUAACAUCCAGGGGCCUGACGGUACCAGGAGAAGAAGCACCGGCUAACUCUGUGCCAGCAGCCGCGGUAAUACAGAGGGUGCAAGCGUUGUUCGGAAUUAUUGGGCGUAAAGCGCGCGUAGGCGGCUUGUCAAGUCAGAUGUGAAAGCCCUCGGCUUAACCGAGGAAGUGCGUCUGAAACUGCUGGGCUUGAGUCUCGGAGAGGAUGGCGGAAUUCCGCAAGUAGAGGUGAAAUUCGUAGAUAUGCGGAGGAACACCGGUGGCGAAGGCGGCCAUCUGGACGAGCACUGACGCUGAGACGCGAAGGAUUAGAUACCCGGGUAGUC